AUGUUCCCGUCCAAUGGCGGAGUGGUGCGGACAACGCCUAUGAAGUCCGUAGUCCUUCUAGUCGCGCUGUUGCUAUGGCCUGCGUCCGCGCGGGCGUUUCCGGCAUCCCGGAGCUUAACUGUGUCACCUAAUGAAGAACGAAACUUGAAUCAUUAUGUGCAAGUUUUAGAGAACCUAAUACUGAGGGUUCCCACGAAGGAACCAGACGGGGAGAAAAAAUCAGUGUCUCCAAACCAUGUCUAUUCUCCAGAUCUGCCCGUGUCAAGACCUAAGGCACUCAGCACUCUCAGAGACGCUCUAACUGAGAACACUGAUCCCACCAAUGGACACAGUACAGCUUUCCCUGCUACAGGCCCCACACAGGGGCCAGAGAGCAAGAAACCUACCGAAAGCAUGGCCUUCUGGUCGAUCAGACCCAACAAUGUUUCUAUUGUUUUGCACACAGAAGAACCUUAUAUUGAAAAGGAACCAGAGCCAGAGCCUGUUAUGAAACACACCGAGGCCUCCAGAUCGUCCCCGUUCACCACCAGGUCCUCCACGAGUCCUCCUGUCAUCACCACACCUUCAAGCACAGACCUGGAGAUGUCUACAGAGUCUGAAGAUGUUCCCCAACUCUGGGGCGAGAACCUCGAAGAGUCAACUGAGCAUCAUUCACAGGCUAUGAAUAAUGAUGACAUUUUGAGAAAAAUCUCAUGUAUCCACUCCCAGCUGCAACAGCCAUCCCUGAAUGACAAGAACGAUCCAGAGUAUAAAGUGGAGAUUGAGGCCUUUAUGGAGAACUUGAAAGGAAGUCUUGCUCUGGCAACAGCAGCAGAGCACAGAUUAGAAAAGAUGUAUAAAUCCCAUGUCUUUUCAGAAGGACAAACCAGUGAGAGGACUUAUGACAUUGAAACUGUUAUUAACAUGCUAUAUAAUUCUAGAUGUAAAUUAUCAAAAUAUUUAGAUAUUAAAUAUGUUCCACCAGAGAUGAGAGAAAAGGCAACCACAGUAUUCAAUACUUUGAAAAACAUAUUAUGGGUAGGUCAAGAAGACACUAAAAACCUUAUUAAGAAGUUAUUAAGAAACAAUAGGAAGGGCCGGGGAUUUAGAUCAGUGGUUUCGCCGCCUGCUGUGCAGGCACAAGGACCAGAGUUCGAUCCCCGGUACCAAAAAAACCCAAACAAUAUAAAAAUGUUGAGCCUGCUUGAUACUCCAUGACAAUAUUAAUUUAAGCAAACUGCAUUCAUUCACAGGAAAACAAGCAUAUUAAUGAUUUCUAGAGUUGUAUAUUUUCUUAUGUAGUUCAGUGUACUAACAUCUUUAUAUGCCAUAUGUAAUGAAAAUUUUUAUAUGCACUGAAAACCUAAUA
rnacentral:lncRNA from 1 species